AGUGAAUAGAUACCCGGGUAGUCCACGCCCUAAACGAUGUCAACUAGUUGUCGGGGAUUAAUUUUCUUGGUAAACGUAGCUAAACGCGAGAAAGUUGACCGCCUGGGGAGUACGGUCGCAAGAUUAAAACUCAAAGGAAUUGACGGGGACCCGCACAAGCGGUGGAUGAUGUGGAUUAAUUCGAUGCAACGCGAAAAAACCUUACCUACCCUUGACAUGGUUCGAAUCUACCAGAGAUGGUGGAGUGCCCGAAAGGGAACGGAUGCACAGGUGCUGCAUGGCUGUCGUCAGCUCGUGUCGUGAGAUGUUGGGUUAAGUCCCGCAACGAGCGCAACCCUUGUCAUUAAUUGCCAUCAUUAAGUUGGGCACUUUAAUGAGACUGCCGGUGACAAACCGGAGGAAGGUGGGGAUGACGUCAAGUCCUCAUGGCCCUUAUGGGUAGGGCUUCACACGUCAUACAAUGGUGCAUACAGAGGGUUGCCAAUCCGCGAGGAGGAGCUAAUCUCAGAAAGUGCAUCGUAGUCCGGAUUGAAGU
rnacentral:rRNA from 1 species